AUCUAGCAAUACACACCCACAAAGCAUCCAUGAUGAACUCGCAACAAGAACAACAGUUGGAACAUAAACUCAACAUCAAGCUA
rnacentral:ribozyme from 1 species